AAAUUGAAGAGUUUGAUCAUGGCUCAGAUUGAACGCUGGCGGCAGGCCUAACACAUGCAAGUCGAACGGUAACAGGAAGCAGCUUGCUGCUUCGCUGACGAGUGGCGGACGGGUGAGUAAUGUCUGGGAAA
rnacentral:rRNA from 4 species